ACGCUCGACACCUACGGGAGGUAGCAGUGGGGAAUAUUGCACAAUGGGGGAAACCCUGAUGCAGCGACGCCGCGUGAAGGAAGAAGUAUUUCGGUAUGUAAACUUCUAUCAGCAGGGAAGAAAAUGACGGUACCUGAGUAAGAAGCACCGGCUAAAUACGUGCCAGCAGCCGCGGUAAUCUGAGCGGGCUGGCAAGGC
rnacentral:rRNA from 1 species